rnacentral:rRNA from 1 species
CCUACGGGUGGCAGCAGUGGGGGAUAUUGCACAAUGGGGGAAACCCUGAUGCAGCGACGCCGCGUGGGUGAAGAAGUAUUUCGGUAUGUAAAGCCCUAUCAGCAGGGAAGAAAGAAGACGGUACCUGACUAAGAAGCCCCGGCUAACUACGUGCCAGCAGCCGCGGUAAUACGUAGGGGGCGAGCGUUAUCCGGAUUCACUGGGUGUAAAGGGAGCGUAGACGGCCGUGCAAGCCAGGAGUGAAAGCCCGGGGCCCAACCCCGGGACUGCUGUUGGAACUGUGCGGCUGGAGUGCGGGAGGGGCAGGCGGAAUGCCUGGUGUAGCGGUGAAAUGCGUAGAUAUCAGGAGGAACACCGGCGGCGAAGGCGGCCUGCUGGACCGCGACUGACGUUGAGGCUCGAAAGCGUGGGGAGCGAACAGGAUUAGAUACCCCAGUAGUC